UCGGCACCCCUCACUUCUGCCCCAGCCCUCUACCUACCCAUCCCCGACUCAACUCCUGCACAAGGAGCAGAACAGCAUCCUGGAAUCCACGCUGUGCAGCCCCCUGGCAGACACACACCUGCGCCCUUUUUUCCUUCCUUUGCCAGGUGUCUGACCCCACUGGGCUCAGGAAAGGCGGAAGCUCUGCUAGGGGUGAGUCCAGAGGCUGACAAGCUGGUGCUUCAUAGCAGUGAGUUUGGAAGGUGGCCACUACAGUCACCAUCUGGAAAUGCAAAGUGUCCCCGAGAUGGUCACUUCUCAGCUAGCUCUGGGUGGAACCCAGAGGCUGUGUGGUGUUGUACCGCACCUGAAGGUCGCCACAAGCUUCCCUCCAGAGAAAAUGCCUUGAUGGGUCUCACUUGUUACUCUGCUUUCCCUCCAGGGAACCUUUGGGAACUGAGCCGGAGUCAAACAUUUGGCUGAGAUUAGGCAUUGGGCCAGACUCACUCCUGACACGCUGCGUCAGCAAAUCAGGGCAGAGCAAAAGCGGCCGAGGCACAAGUGAGGCCAAACAACCUGGAAGACACUGAGCAGAGAGAAGGCGGGCUGCUGGCUGGGACAUGCUUUUCCAGGGUCCCUGGAAGAGCUUUCCUUACUCGGGGAAAGAGUGGAGGACAUGGAGAUUUGACAGCUAGCUGCUUAGCAAGGGAUGGAAGCAAGCUUUGGGAACACAGAUUGUCUGGGGACAGGAAGCAGAGAGCAGGG
rnacentral:lncRNA from 10 species